rnacentral:rRNA from 1 species
UUGCUCCUUGGGUGACGAGUGGCGGACGGGUGAGUAAUGUCUGGGAAACUGCCCGAUGGAGGGGGAUAACUACUGGAAACGGUAGCUAAUACCGCAUAACGUCGCAAGACCAAAGAGGGGGACCUUCGGGCCUCUUGCCAUCGGAUGUGCCCAGAUGGGAUUAGCUAGUAGGUGGGGUAACGGCUCACCUAGGCGACGAUCCCUAGCUGGUCUGAGAGGAUGACCAGCCACACUGGAACUGAGACACGGUCCAGACUCCUACGGGAGGCAGCAGUGGGGAAUAUUGCACAAUGGGCGCAAGCCUGAUGCAGCCAUGCCGCGUGUAUGAAGAAGGCCUUCGGGUUGUAAAGUACUUUCAGCGAGGAGGAAGGCGUUGUGGUUAAUAACCGCAGCGAUUGACGUUACUCGCAGAAGAAGCACCGGCUAACUCCGUGCCACCCGCCGCGGUAA